GACGAACGCUGGCGGCGUGCUUAACACAUGCAAGUCGAACGAAGUCGCGAACGGGUGAGUAACGCGUAAUCAACCUGCCCUUCAGAGGGGGACAACAGUUAGAAACGACUGCUAAUACCGCAUACUGAAGGAGGGGAUUGCGUCUGCUUCGCUAGUUGGAGGGGUAACGGGCCACCAAGGCGAUGAUCAGUAGCCGGUCUGAGAGGAUGAACGGCAACACUGGGACUGGGAAACGGCCCAGACUCCCACGGGAGGCAGCAGGGGGGAAUCUUCCGCAAUGGACGAAAGUCUGACGGAGCAACGCCGCGGGGGGGAUGACGGCCUUCGGGUUGGAAAGCGCUGUUAAUCGGGACGCGGUACCGGAAUAGAAAGCCACGGCUAACUACGUGCCAGCAGCCGCGGUAAUAC
rnacentral:rRNA from 1 species